UGGGGGUACUGGGGGUAGCUUGCUACCUGCCGGCGAGUGGCGAACGGGUGAGUAAUACAUCGGAACGUGCCCUGUAGUGGGGGAUAACUAGUCGAAAGACUAGCUAAUACCGCAUACGACCUGAGGGUGAAAGUGGGGGACCGCAAGGCCUCAUGCUAUAGGAGCGGCCGAUGUCUGAUUAGCUAGUUGGUGGGGUAAAGGCCCACCAAGGCGACGAUCAGUAGCUGGUCUGAGAGGACGAUCAGCCACACUGGGA
rnacentral:rRNA from 1 species